GGAACAGCUCCGGUCUGCAGCUCCCAGCGUGAGCGACACAGAAGACGGGUGAUUUCUGCAUUUCUAACUGAGGCACCUGGACCUGUGUUCACAUUCUUCCACGAGACUGAGGAGCAGGCACCGCUGUGACUAUCGUUGCCUCCCCAGAGAAGCCCUUUUCCUGCCAAACAAAGGACUGGAAAACUAAGCCCAAGAGUGAGGAAGCAAUUUAAGCCCAAGAGUGAUGAAGCAAACAGUCAGUAAGUGGCACAUUCUGGAGUGAAACACCAGGAUCCCAUCUCCUGGUCUAAAGCCUUCCUUCUAUUUACAGAUCCUUUUCCAUUUACAUUCAGAUUCCUGAAUGUUGGCAGCACUUUAUCUACUGAAUUGAGGAGGUACUGAACACAAUUCCAAGUUUUAAUGGUGCUGAAAGGACACAUAAGAGACUACCUCAGUGCUCCGUUUAAAGAAAAAUUAAUAAUACUUCUUAUUUUAUGAAUUGCAUCAUUUAUACUCAUAGAUCUUCAAACAAAGGUUUGUUGCUUGAUAAUCUGGAGUGAGAAGUAUUGGCUUAUCAAAGGAAAUAAUUUAUCCUAGGGAGAGGGAAGUUAGCAAUUGUAGGGCUACAUGCUAAUAACAAAAUAACUGUUACCAUUCAUAAUUAUUCAAUUCAUUAGUUAAUUUAUUCUUCACUCAUUUCAUAUGCUUAUAUGCAGUGCCUGUGAUACCUGCAAGGUAUUAUGCUAAGGUUCCCGGGAAACACAAAGGUAGGCAAACUUAGGUAAAGUGGAUAAGGUUCCUGGGAAACACAAAGGUCGGUAAAGUCAGUUCUGCCCUCAACAAGCUAGCUCCUAGUUUUUUAAGAACUAAGUGAUGGAUAUUCAGCAGGGAAUUUUGAUUCAGUAGGAGGGGACAGCACUCAAUCACUUCUGGAGAAAAGGAUUAGGUGGCACAUUUUCCCCCUGUACUCAUUUUGUAAAAACAGCUUUAUUGAGGUUUGACUGACAUGCAAUAAACCACAUAUAAUGAAAGGGACAAUUUGAUAAGUUCUGAUAUAUGUAGACACCCCAUCAUCACUGUCAAGAUGAUGAACAUACCCAUCGCCCCACAGAAUUGCCAGUGCCUUCAGUAAUCCCUCCCUCUUGCUCCUCGUGGGCUCCACUGCCCAAUCCCUAGGACAACAGUGACCUCCUUUCUGUCACUAUCGAUUGGGUUGCAUUUUCAUCAUUUUAUAUAAAUGGAAUCAUACUCUAUGUACUAUUUUUUUUGCUUGGCUUUUUUUUCACUCAGUGUCAUUAUUUUGAGGUCCAUACACAUUGUUUUGUAUCAAUAGUUUAUUUUUAUUGCAAAGUAAUAGUCUACUAAAUAUAUACCAGAACUUGUUUAUCUGUACAUCUCUUGUUGGAAAUUUGGGGUUAUUUCCAGUUUUUGA